GGAUUAGCUAGUUGGUGGGGUAAAGGCCUACCAAGGCGACGAUCUGUAGCGGGUCUGAGAGGAUGAUCCGCCACACUGGGACUGAGACACGGCCCAGACUCCUACGGGAGGCAGCAGUGGGGAAUAUUGCACAAUGGGCGGAAGCCUGAUGCAGCAACGCCGCGUGCGGGAUGACGGCCUUCGGGUUGUAAACCGCUUUCGCCUGUGACGAAGCGUGAGUGACGGUAAUGGGUAAAGAAGCACCGGCUAACUACGUGCCAGCAGCCGCGGUGAUACGUAGGGUGCGAGCGUUGUCCGGAUUUAUUGGGCGUAAAGGGCUCGUAGGUGGUUGAUCGCGUCGGAAGUGUAAUCUUGGGGCUUAACCCUGAGCGUGCUUUCGAUACGGGUUGACUUGAGGAAGGUAGGGGAGAAUGGAAUUCCUGGUGGAGCGGUGGAAUGCGCAGAUAUCAGGAGGAACACCAGUGGCGAAGGCGGUUCUCUGGGCCUUUCCUGACGCUGAGGAGCGAAAGCGUGGGGAGCGAACAGGCUUAGAUACCCUGGUAGUCCACGCUGUAAACGGUGGGUACUAGGUGUGGGGUCCAUUCCACGGGUUCCGUGCCGUAGCUAACGCUUUAAGUACCCCGCCUGGGGAGUACGGCCGCAAGGCUAAAACUCAAAGGAAUUGACGGGGCCCCGCACAAGCGGCGGAGCAUGCGGAUUAUUCGAUGCAACGCGUAGAUCUUACCUGGGUUUGACAUGAUCGGGAGCGCUCAGAGAUGGGUGUGCCUCUUUUGGGGUCGAUCACAGGUGUGCAUGCUGUCGUCAGCUCGUGUCGUGAGAUGUUGGGUAGUCCGCAACGAGCGCAACCCUUGUUCACUGUUUGCCAGCCACGUUAUUGGUGGGGGACUUCAUGGGAACCGCCCGCGGUUUACUCUCUGA
rnacentral:rRNA from 1 species